GACGAACGCUGGCGGCGUGCUUAACACAUGCAAGUCGAGCGGUAGGGCCCUUUCGGGGGUACACGAGCGGCGAACGGGUGAGUAACACGUGGGUGACCUGCCCUUAGCUCUGGGAUAAGGCCUGGGAAACUGGGUCUAAUACCGGAUAUGACUCCAUGACGCAUGUUGUGGGGUGGAAAGCCUUGUGCGGCUAGGGAUGGGCCCGCGGCCUAUCAGCUUGUUGGUGGGGUGANGGCCUACCAAGGCGACGACGGGUAGCCGGCCUGAGA
rnacentral:rRNA from 1 species